rnacentral:rRNA from 1 species
UAAUCGCGCAUCAGCCAUGGCGCGGUGAAUACGUUCCCGGGCCUUGUACACACCGCCCGUCAAGCCAUGGGAGCCGGGAGCGCUUGAAGUGCGUCGCCGCGAGGCGCGCCCUAGAGCGAGACCGGUGACUGGGGCUAAGUCGUAACAAGGUACC